CAUUUGUUGGAGGCUGCAUCCUCUCCUUGCGUGCCAUUUGGUCUGGCACAUGAUGUAGGUGCUCCAAGCAGAUGUGCUGGACACUGACCGGAGACUGGAGCAUCCAGAGUACUAGGACUGUUCAGUACUUUCUGGGUGGCCUCACUACAAAGGAGGGCAGUAUGAAGACGUCUGAAAAUGCACAGGGAAGGGACACAUGACACUCAGCAGAGCACAUGUACUGGACAUAUGUUGUACAGAUUUAUCCUCACACCGUACUGGCUAUGCAAACAGAGAGAAUGAAAGGAAGAGGGAAUA